rnacentral:rRNA from 1 species
AGUGAACGCUGGCGGUAGGCCUAACACAUGCAAGUCGAACGGCAGCACAGUAAGAGCUUGCUCUUACGGGUGGCGAGUGGCGGACGGGUGAGGAAUACAUCGGAAUCUACUUUUUCGUGGGGGAUAACGUAGGGAAACUUACGCUAAUACCGCAUACGACCUACGGGUGAAAGCAGGGGAUCUUCGGACCUUGCGCGAUUGAAUGAGCCGAUGUCGGAUUAGCUAGUUGGCGGGGUAAAGGCCCACCAAGGCGACGAUCCGUAGCUGGUCUGAGAGGAUGAUCGGCCACACUGGAACUGGGACACGGUCCAGACUCCUACGGGAGGCAGCAGUGGGGAAUAUUGGACAAUGGGCGCAAACCUGAUCCAGCCAUACCGCGUGGGUGGAGGAGGCCUUCGGGUUGUAAAGCCCUUUUGUUGGGAGAGAAAAGCAGCAGGUUAAUACCCCGCUGUUCUGACGGUACCCAAAGAAUAAGCACCGGCUAACUUCGUG